rnacentral:rRNA from 1 species
AAUCUACCCUUGUGUCUGGGAUAACCUCGGGAAACCGGGGCUAAUACCGGAUACGCUCUUAAUGUAGCGAUAUAUACAGAGUAAAGAUGCCCUCUGAUUCACGGUAUCGCAUGAGGAUGAGCCUGCGUACCAUUAGCUAGUAGGUGGGGUAAUGGCCUACCUAGGCUACGAUGGUUAGCGGGUCUGAGAGGAUGAUCCGCUACACUGGAACUGGAACACGGACCAG